GGACCCGCACAAGCGGUGGAGCAUGUGGUUUAAUUCGAUGCAACGCGAAGAACCUUACCUGGUCUUGACAUCCUGCGAACUUUCUAGAAAUAGAUUGGUGCCUUCGGGAACGCAGUGACAGGUGCUGCAUGGCUGUCGUCAGCUCGUGUCGUGAGAUGUUGGGUUAAGUCCCGUAACGAGCGCAACCCCUAUCCUUAUUUGCCAGCACAUUAUGGUGGGAACUAUAAGGAGACUGCCGGUGAUAAACCGGAGGAAGGCGGGGACGACGUCAAGUCAUCAUGGCCCUUACGACCAGGGCUACACACGUGCUACAAUGGGAUGGACAAAGAGUCGCGAAGCCGCGAGGUGUAGCUAAUCUCAUAAACCUUCUCGUAGUCCGGAUUGGAGUCUGCAACUCGACUCCAUGAAGUCGGAAUCGCUAGUAA
rnacentral:rRNA from 1 species